rnacentral:lncRNA from 1 species
AUUCAGUGUUCUGAGCUGGGCACCAGAAGAUCUCUAAAGAGGUGUUGAUAGAAGAGAUCCUUGAUAAUGGUAAAUUAGUUCUUUGAUUUGAAGUUGGUGGUUAAAAAUGCUGAAACAAUCAAUCUGCAAUCUAGGGACAUCAAAGCGGAACCAAUUAAAUUUCUUGGCCAUGGAUUAUUUAGAAUUGCCUUUGUUCCUCAAACUUGUGUCUUUUGAAAACUACACUGAGAUUUCUUCUCGCUCUAGUCAGAAUGGCAAUUAUCAAGAAUACAAGUAAUAAUAAAUAUUGGCGAGGAUGUGGGGGGAAAGGUACACUCAUACAUUGCUGGUGGCACUGAAUGUUGGAAAGCAGUAUGGAGAUUUCUCAGAAAACUUGUAAUGGAACCACUAUUUGACCCAGUUACCCAAUCAUGGCAUAUACCUCGAAGACUUAAAAUCAGCAUAUUAUAGUGACAUGGCCACAUCAAUGUUUAUAGCAGCUCACUUCACAAUAGCUAAGCUAUGGAGCCAACCUAGAUGCCCUUCACCACAUGAAUGGAUAAAGAAAAUCUGGUAUAUAUACAUAUGUAAUAUGUCUCAGCCAUCAGGAAGAAUGAACUUUUGUAACUCCAUAUCAUGCACAACCACAAGAAUGGAAGUUAUGCUCCAUGUACCUAUGAUAUGUCAAAAUAUAUUCUACAGUUAUGUAUAACUGAAAAGAACAAAUACAAAAUUUAAAAAAAAUUAUCUUCGGGUGUUAAUUCUACUGUAGUGGACAUGGGGGUCAAGAUUCAACACUUCAACUUUC